GGGCAGGUUGUGUAAUUGGUAACACAUGGGACUCUUACUAUCCGGACCCUGAAGUAGUCGGUGCGACUCCGACCUUGUCCA